CUACAGUAACUUCCAUAUAUGGUCAGACAGGUGAUUCUUCCGGCUACAGACUCACCGUGUUUUCACGGUGCUGACUUACCAUUGGAUGAAAGUGACGGUCAAUUAAACACACGUGGCGAUCGCGUAAAGAUGCUCUCCUCUGAUUGGCUGUCGGAGUUAAAAGCCCGUUAGCUUCGUCACUUUAGGUCGUAGAAAGAUGCUGAUUGGUUCGUUUUGUUCCUGGGCGGUUACUGAUUUCAGAGAUACUGAACAUCAUUGGUCAAAUAUUUUGUCGCUACUUUAAAUUGACAGAAAUCACUUUGUUUUGGAAGUUUGACGAGCGGCGCUAAAAAUAAACGAGCGACACAAUCGACUUUUAUUCAGGUUAUUUUACUUCCGCUUGAACUUUAACGAGCUGGAUUCACUCGGUGGACUUUUGUUCUUUAAAACGAGCCUCUGUUUGUCUGUAAAUGUCUGUUUUUCGACCUAUAAAUCCAUUUUAACUGCAGCUACACAGGAUAGCAGGAAAACACGCUGUUUGUUUAUUUAUUAAUGUUUACAUGGAAAUCUGGGUCGCGUGCAACCUCCGCGCCAGAAAAGAUUAAAGGACAGAUCAGCUGAAAACAUCCCAGGGGCAGCUGCAAAGCCGUCUGUCACUACACUCGAUCAAACAAAUGAUGGGAUCCUGCUGCAGUGUGAAGUUCUUGCCGCUUUUCCAAAACCUACAGUAGAGUGGCAGGACAGUGCAGGAAACAAACUUCCUGCUGAGGAGCCACAGGUCUCAGAAAGAGGAGGCAGCUUCAACAUCAUCCUCCAAACUACUGUAAUGAAGACUGACCGCUAUCGCUGUGUAGCCACACAGGAGGAGAUCAACCAUCGGAUUUAUGCUGAGACCUUCGUGCCUCU